UGGUGGCUCAGUUGGUUAGAGCAUGGUGCUGAUAAUGCUGAGCUUGUGGGUUCAAUCCCCGUAUCGGCUAAU